CUGUGGGUUUAAUGAGUACCGCUGCUUUGGGGCACAGAGCAGAGCUCAGCAAACGGCUGCCCUCCCCUUCAUCCCCUGCCCUGGGCUUCCAGCACAACUUGUUCCUGACAAGGAAUAGAACACAGAUGUUUCACUGGGGCGGGGGCAGAGGGCGGCCUUGGCAGAGACCGUGCUGGCUUCGGGGAGCAGCCGUGAUGCAGCCUCUCCUAGCAGGUGGGAGAAUGGUGAGGACCGAUGGUCAGCUGAGGCUUGGCUGUGGACCCGGUUCCUGGGUGAGUGGACCAGGAAGAGAGAGGAAAGCAAGGUGACCUGGUGGGGCUGACAGAGCCGGGACUGGGCGUCAGAGCAUGCAGCCUGUUUUCUCAUCUACCAAAUGCAAGAGAUGAUUCCCUCCACCUCUUCCCAUCCUGCUGGGUUUUGCAAAUUUUCAUGGUGGUUUCAAAUCCUGGGCUUUGAAGUCUGACAGAUCUGAGUUGGGAUCCUAAGUCUUCCACGUACUAGCUGUAGGUCCCGGGACAUGGUCUUUAACUUCUCUGAACCUCAGUCUUUGCAUCUGUAAAGUGGGGGAGAAUAAUAAGGUCUACUUUACCUGACUGUUGUGGUGACCAAGUGAGGGGGUGGGCGGAAGCCUCACAUGGUGCAUGGCCCAAGCCAAGUGCUUGGAAGGCUCUGACAUUGUAUCCCAAUAAUGGCCACAGCCCUUCCAGCUCCUCAAGAUCAAAGAAAAGAAUGAAGAUGGUACAUUAUGCUCCCAAAGUGUUUCCACAUCCACCAGCUUCACUUGAGCCUUGUAAGUGGGCCUUGUAAGUGGGCAAGGCAGGCCAGAUGUCCUCUGCCCCUAGAAAAAUUCAACUGCCCCCAUUCCCUGGAGUGAUACUUGGGCAGCUGGCAAAGAGGACAUAGCCACCUACUGCUACAGGUAUAAACUGGGAUGCCCACCCCCACCUGGGCCAGCUGUGGCCUGAACCUCUCAGCAGAUGACCUUGAGGCCUACUUCAGAGGAGGCCUAUCAGAAAGGCGUACCCUUAACCACAUACCCCAAACCUGUAAAGCUCCCUGCAUUCCUUCUUCCCCUUCCUGUGGCAUAGACUGGCACCUACCUCCACAACCAGGUUCUGGGUCCCUUUCUCCCUGGUCUCCUUCCUUUCUCCUCUGUCCUCAAUGCCUCCCUCUCUACCAGAUCUUCCCUAUCAGCAUCAAGAUGUCCCCAAGCUGUUCCAAUAAUAAAAGGGAGAAAUACUAGGUGCAGCACUUUAGUGCUGUGUUAAGUACUUCUAACCACCUCACCUAAUCCUAUGACCCCUUUGAGGCAGGGACUGUCUUCAUCAUCCCAUUUUACAAACCAGUUAAGUGACUUGCCCAGGGUCCCACAGAUGGUGCGUGGGGAUUCCUGAACUCAGCCUGUGCUCUAACCACACAUUCUACCCUUUCCCCAAA